rnacentral:rRNA from 1 species
UACGUAGGUGGCAAGCGUUGUUCGGAAUUAUUGGGCGUAAAGGGCGCGUAGGCGGUUUGUUAAGUCGGCUGUGAAAGCCCGGGGCUCAACCCCGGAGGGUCAGCCGAUACUGGCAGACUAGAGUACGGAAGAGGUAGCUGGAAUUCCCGGUGUAGCGGUGAAAUGCGUAGAUAUCGUAAGGAAGACCAGUGGCGAAGGCGGGUCUCUGGACAGUUCCUGACGCUGAGGCACGAAGGCCAGGGGAGCAAACGGG